GUUAAGUUAGUUUAAAGAAAACGUUAGCCUGUGGAGCUAAAGAUGAAUUUUAAUUCAUUUAACU
rnacentral:tRNA from 1 species